GUGGGGAAUAUUGGACAAUGGGCGAAAGCCUGAUCCAGCCAUGCCGCGUGUGUGAAGAAGGUCUUCGGAUUGUAAAGCACUUUAAGUUGGGAGGAAGGGUAGUAACCUAAUACGUUGCUACUUUGACGUUACCGACAGAAUAAGCACCGGCUAACUUCGUGCCAGCAGCCGCGGUAAUACGAAGGGUGCAAGCGUUAAUCGGAAUUACUGGGCGUAAAGCGCGCGUAGGUGGUUCAGUAAGUUGGAAGUGAAAUCCCCGGGCUCAACCUGGGAACUGCUUUCAAAACUGCAUGACUAGAGUACGGUAGAGGGUAGUGGAAUUUCCUGUGUAGCGGUGAAAUGCGUAGAUAUAGGAAGGAACACCAGUGGCGAAGGCGACUACCUGGACUGAUACUGACACUGAGGUGCGAAAGCGUGGGGAGCAAACAGGAUUAGAAACCCGGGUGGUCC
rnacentral:rRNA from 1 species